rnacentral:lncRNA from 1 species
UGCUGCUGCUUGCGACGACCAACCCCACCUUGUACGACCAUAUCUGUGGAGAGAGAGAGAGAGAGAGAGAGGGCCACCAACAAUUAUCCCCCGCCGUGCACCCAAAAAGCUCCGAAGAAGCUUAAAAGUGGCAAUGGCCUAACAUUCUUUUUUUAACAAGAAUUCAUGGCAGUUUGCCCCCCUUCCCAACUUCAAUGUGAAGGAUUUCAAAGUUCACAGAGGUUUCCAGAGAGAAGUGAAAGUGAUUGUUGACUCUGUUUGACUCUCUCUCUCUCUCUCUCUCUCUCUCUUAAUAAACGAAUCAGGCUAGGGUGGUCACAUGGUUGUCUGAUAGGCUAUAAAUCUCCCAUUUUUCAAAAAAAAAAAAAAAAAAAGACAGAAGUGAAAGUGAUUGUUGACUCUCUUUGACUCUUUCUCUCUCUAAAGAAGAUUAUUUUUUCAUUAUAAUUGGGAUGCUUUUAUAAAUCUAGUUUUAGUCUCUAACUUUAAAACUCAUUAUCAAUCAUAUUAAAUACCCCUGCCCACUUUUAUUAUUUUCAAAUUUUCUUUCUAAAAUUCCUAACUUAAUCAUCAAUUAGGCCUUAAAAAUAGAAAUUUUUAUUUCUACAAAUCAAAUUUAGCAAUUUAAAAUGGAAGACUUUUUUUUUUGUUUGUUAAAAAAAAAAUGGAAGACUUGUAUAAAAAUUUAUACAGACAAUCACAAAGCCAAACAAAUAAAUUCAUAUGCAGACACAAUAAACAAUAUACAUAAUAAAGGUACACACACA